CUUUUAAAUUCAAAGGAUGUUGCAGAUGCUUAAAAUGUUCCAAAAAUAAAGUCAUGUAUCCUAUGUAAAGAUAAAAUGCAACGAAAUAUCUGAAUUGUAAAUUAAACGCAAAGAUGCAAUCAAACAUCUUAACACAUAUUAAUGACAAUGCAUGUAAGCUACAACUAAAGGCGACGUUUGACUCAGGAAAACCCAGAAGACCCGCAGUACUAGAGCUGUCUAGAGCAUUAACUAUUCAGUGACAGACUGAACUCUAGAGGGAGGGAUCCUGGAAAUGGGUGAUGACACAUUUCCAAAACCUAAACCUCUUGAGCAACAGCCGUGAAUGCCAGUGUCACUCCUGUGGAGUCAUUAUGAGUCUAUGUUAUCGGCACGACAGUUGAACACAGUCCUUUGAGAGAAGGAGCCAAAACAAGUGCGGCAUGAAUAAGACCUUGGGCAAGUGUGUGUGUGUGACAGAGAGAGAGUAAUUACACUGUGUGAAUGAAGGUUGAGGGAAUGUUUUGAGUGCUCAGGGAAUAAAGAAACAAAAACAGCGUACGUAAUUUAUGUCAAGAGCACAGUGACACACUUCAAUUGAAUGUCAUCCUUUUUUUAGUUUUUGCCAAUAAGAAAAAUUGGUGGGAAAUCUGGGGAUUAAUGAAAUUAAUGAAUGUCUUAUAUAGUAAGUUGAAAUAAAUAAGUGUAUAUUCGUACAAUAAGCUUAAAAUAUUUAAAUAAAUAACAAACUAUACAUUAAAAGGCAAAUACGUUUUUGGAUAUUUUGGGGAUUUAACAUCAAAACGCAACAUCUAAUGUAAAAAUGUAUGUUUUUAGUGUAACCUUCUCCCUUUAAAUACUUUGGUCAGUUCAAGAACAAUUUAUGCAAUUUUAUAUGAUUUAUUUGAAAGAAUUAAAAGAGCGGUUUCAUGUCCAUUCUUGUGUUGUUCAACUGGACUGAAAUGGGAUUUAGUAAGUAACUAGUAACAAGCAACGCAAUCGUUUUCAAGAGAAUCGAGAGAGAUUCGUACGGAAAUCUAAUAACAUUGUCCAGUAAUCAAUGACUCUUUUAGAGUAACUUACCCAAUACUAUAUAUAAUUAACCUGAUUUUAUUCUUAAUAACAUUUUUCUUUUUCUUUCUGGCUUUGGGAGUAUUUUCUGAUUUAUGGAGCGAUAAAAAGAGAUAUCCAAAAUCCCCUCUGUAAAAUCCUUGAACUCUAAUACACCAACAAAAUGAAACGAGAACUUUGAACCUGAAAUCUGUUCGGUUUCAUAACUAAAAUUCCCAUAGUUUCCCCCCCAAAAAAGUCUCUGGUUUAGAUGUUUAAACCCCCAUCAAGUGUGUAACUCAUCCUGGCUGAAGCACAUCAACACUAUCUAUGGUCAACAGUCACCACUGAUGAAUAAAUCAAGAGAGAGACGGCUGACGUCAUUCUGAAACCAGACCAACCCCCUCCGGGCUAACUAGACUAAUUAACCUCCUCAGACCCAAGACACAGUCAAACAAGUAGGCCAGCACAACAAGAGAGACCCAAAUCACCCCGAGUCCAUGUAAUGUGUUCAUGCAGGACACCAAACGACUGCUUUCUGCUUCAUGAAUGUGAUUGUGUCUCAAGAGAGGCACUGAACAUUUACAAGUUCCUCUGCAAGAAUGAGGUCUGAUGGGAUUCCCAAGAUUGUGUAUCCACCAGCUUUAUGUUCCUCAAGAUGUUUAUCAUACUCCACAUCAACGAACUAGAAAGCAGCCAAACUAACAAAUAAAGGUUGUUUUGGUCGUAA